rnacentral:misc_RNA from 1 species
AAGUCGUAACAAGGUUUCCGUAGGUGAACCUGCGGAAGGAUCAUUAAUGUGACUCUGCAUCAAGUGUGGAGGCAUUCCUUGUGCUGUGUAUUGGUUGUAUGUUCUCUGCCCGCAUGCAAUGCGUGGCGGGUUCAUGUUUUACUCGUAUUACCGUAUUUCUUAUUGUACAUUUAAACAAUCGAAAACUGCCAGCAAUGGAUCACUCGGUUCUC